rnacentral:rRNA from 1 species
UACGAAGGGGGCGAGCGUUGUUCGGAAUUACUGGGCGUAAAGCGUAUGUAGGCGGUCAAAAAAGUCAGAAGUGAAAGCCCCGGGCUCAACCUGGGAACUGCUUUUGAAACUUUUUGACUAGAGUCCCGGAGAGGUUGGCGGAAUUCCGAGUGUAGAGGUGAAAUUCGCAGAUAUUCGGAGGAACACCAGUGGCGUAAGCGGCCAACUGGACGGGAACUGACGCUGAGGUACGAAAGCGUGGGGAUCAAAC